AACUUUUCGAAUCCGUGCUGAGAUUUCGUCAGACAACAACUUAUUAGGGUUGAUCAGACUUCCAAGAUAAGUCAAGUU
rfam:Schistosoma mansoni strain Puerto Rico chromosome 3, complete genome